rnacentral:rRNA from 1 species
UACGGAGGGGGCUAGCGUUGUUUGGAAUUACUGGGCGUAAAGCGCACGUAGGCGGCUUUGUAAGUUAGAGGUGAAAGCCCAGGGCUCAACCCUGGAAUUGCCUUUAAGACUGCAUCGCUAGAAUUGUGGAGAGGUAAGUGGAAUUCCGAGUGUAGAGGUGAAAUUCGUAGAUAUUCGGAAGAACACCAGUGGCGAAGGCGACUUACUGGACACAUAUUGACGCUGAGGUGCGAAAGCGUGGGGAGCAAACAGG